UCACAUGUGUGCCGUUUAAAUGUCAUGUUGACGCACCAUGCACACAAGUUGCUGCAGACGUUGCGGCGUUGGUAGAUAUGAGAUACGCUUUCGUCACUGUAAAUAGUGCGCGGGAUGACGGGGUCGAGCUCAUUAAUUACCGAGUUUAAGUGGAAUAAUAAUUCCGCCUGUGUUACGCUGAGUCUAGAAACUUACCACCACCAAGUGUAGUAACAUUAUAUAUGAGACAUAAUGGGUACACGAAUAUUGAAAGACAAAACCAUUUCGUGAUGUAUAAAUUUAGUAUAACAGCAGCGCAUGCCACACUUCGGGUUCGGUUAAGGAAAGUGCCUGGAUGGUUCAAAUGCACAAUAAUACAAGUGAUUAUAAUAAUAAAUUGAAAAAUGUCCGCAUAUCCUAAACAAUUAUAUUUUAUAUGUGCUUGGUUUGGUAAAAAAUAUUGUCAAUGUUGUUAAUAUAAUCACUUAUGUAUUGCAAAAAAAAUAAAUUGAAUUACACGAUAA